CGGGCAAGUCGAGGCUACGCGAAUGAGCAAACGGCCUUUUAGCCUACGUGUAGUCGCUGACUCGCGAAAUCCUCUCGAGAGCCUACACGUAGGCUAACGGCCUUUCAGAUCUGCGCGCUCUGAAUCCGGAGUCCUGGCCCGCGCGCGUGACGUCAUGGACGCUAGUGAAGUAAUAAUAGAGACCUUUAGGGGCCGAUUUCAUGAUGAACUUCAGUCCGGGCUGAGUUUGGGAGGCUGAAAGUCCAGCCUGUUAUCUCGCACAAAUACUAGUAAAAUUGCUCUUUCGAUUACAUGAAGGAGGUUUCAGCCCGGGAUCAAUUUCAACCCGGGAGGAGUUUUCCAGCAAACCGGGCCAGGAUUUUCAGCCCGGGCUAGCGGGUUAAAAAUCGCCACGUAAUCCCGUAAAUAUCUUAGCCCGGGCUGUAAAACAAUAAAAUCCGAGUCCAGUCUGGGCUGAAUAGAACUCAAUAGUGCAAGAAAAUGGUGGUAAUGAAAUUUUGAGUACUUCAAUUAUGUGGAGUUUGAAAGUUGUACAAUAAAUAGUAUUGGUUUUAAUGCUGAUUAAAGGAAAUAAUUUAUACCACCCCUAAAACUGUAAGUAUCAAGGGGGCGUGUUUUUUUUUUUCAUUUGACUGUAGCAUGUGUUAAUAUCUAUCACUGGAAUAAGUUUCGUGACCGUAGCAGGAAAAGUAUUGGUUUCAUUGAGGAAGUAAGGGAAAAUGAUUCCACCUCUGUAAGUAUACAUUUUUUGGGGGUGGGUCCAUAUCCAGAAUUGCUCAGUGCAAGAUUCUCUAUCACUGUGCCAAAUUUCAAAAAUGUUCCUCAAAUUUGAACGAUGCUGCACCAUUUUCUUCGACUACAACCCGGGCUGGAUUUAAGGCAUAUAAUAGGUAAGCAGCUACUCGGGCUGAAGCUUCAGCCCGGGCUAAUGAAAACUCAGCCCGGGCUGGAACUCAUCAUGUAAUCGGCCCCUAAGAUCCGAGAACCAGGUCCACGACCAGGACGAGUUUUAGCUCGCGCGUUGUGUGCGCAUGCGCAGAUGGCCCCUUGAGUGGGCGACGACAAGUUUACACAGCAAAGUGGUACUCACGGGACCAGUUUGUUCAAGUACAAAAUGUCUGAGGAUAAAAAAAGUGGCGGAAAAAAGAGAGCUCUUAAUAUGGAAAUUUGACAGCGAUGUCUCACUUCUGAAAGAGGUUAUUGCGGAGGAGCCUCACAAGCAUCCUUACGCAUCAAAAGAGAGAGGACGGAAGUGGAACAAAAUCGCCCUCAAUUUAAAAGAAAACCAUGGGUUUAAGGUCACUCAAGGUCCGUGAGUCUGCAUGAAGACUUUUUGAAAGAAGAGAAGAAGGAGAUGAGAGACAGUGGGGUAGAGGUGACGUACGACGAAAAGCACCAGAUGCUUACAGACUACAACGAGCUAAUAGAGGACUGGGAAAGGGAAAGGAAAGAGGGUGGAUGACGAGAAGGUUAUGGCAGAAGAUAUGAGGAAGAAGGCAACAGAGAUAUUAAGUGCAACCAAGAAGAGAAAAGAGAGUGGCGAAGACAAGGGCGAAGAAGACCAGC